GCUUAACUCGGUAGGAUUUCAAUCCUUUGCUCAUUAGUGGAAGUCCACAAAUCAAGAAUUUAAAAGUGAUUCCAAAAAGCUUGAUGUUAUUGCCAUUAUUUGUUGGGUCAUUUGGAAAGAAUGUAAUAGGGCUAUAUUUGAUCACUGUCAACCUAAUCCUUUGUAAACUAGCAAGCGUAUUGCAAUUCUUCUGAAUGAGAACUUCCAACUGGAGGAAGGAAGUCAAGUUGCUACUCAGAGCCUGCAGCAGAUCCAAAAUCAGGUUAGUUGGGUCCUUCCU
rnacentral:misc_RNA from 1 species